AUAAGGAGUCGGACCUGCCCAGUGAAGUAAUAUUUUAACGGCCGCGGUACUCUGACCGUGCAAAGGUAGCAUAAUCAUUUGCCCUAUAAUUGAGGGCUAGUAUGAAUGGUUUGACAAGAAUAAAGCUGUCUCUAUACAAUUAUAUAGAAUUUUAUUUUUAGGUGAAGAAGCCUAAAUAAAAUUAAAAGACAAGAAGACCCUAUUGAGCUUUAAAUAAAUUAAUAAAUUAAUAGAAAUAUUUAUUUAAAAUAGUAAUUAUUAAAGAUUUUGGUUGGGGCGACAAAGGAACACAUAAAGCUUCUUUUUAAUUUGAAUUACAAGACAGGUGUUGAUCCAUAAAAUUUUGAUUAAAGAAAUUAGUUACCAUAGGGAUAACAGCAUUAUCUUUUUUGAGAGCUCAUAUCGAAAAAAAGGUUUGUGACCUCGAUGUUGGACCAGAAUGUCCUAAAGAUGCAGAAGUCUUUAAGGGUUGGUCUGUUCGACCAUUAAAAUUCUA
rnacentral:rRNA from 1 species